rnacentral:lncRNA from 1 species
AUGCACCAUAAACGGCUCCUUUCAGGCCCUUUCAGAGCGGGAGCGCGGAGGUCACCGUGUCUACAAACCCCUCUGUGUCCGCCACGUCUCCUGGGCCCUGGGCGCUCAGGCCUCCAGCCGCAGAGCACGCCUGCCCGUGGGAAUCCCAACACUUGUGCUCUGCGAGGCCGGCGGGGCGGGGGCGGGGAAGUGGGACCACCCGGCCCUCCCCAAGCCCUGCCGCCUCCGCCCUCCCCGCCGCUCGUUCACAGAGCGCAGCGAGUGGAACGAAUUGGGUGCGCAGUCCUCAGACGCUGGCGGAAAUCAAAUGAUAAGGCGAGGUGGGACACCCGCUCUCCGCCCCACGGCCGACGUCCACCCCACGGCAAAGGUAUCACGCGGUGUGUCCCGCCUCCCGGCACCGCGAGAGGCGGGAUGACUCUGCCUGGGCCCCGGCGCAGCCAAAGGCCCGGCUCGGUGGGGCGCGAUCCCAGAUCGGCGCGCACAGCCCUCCGAGGGCCAGGUUGGAUUGGGUGCGGUUGUACCUGUGGCGUGGGUGACCCAGUGACUGGGACCCGGGCCAGUGCUGUCAGAUGUGCACGUCCUGGGCGGGGCUGGCGGCCGAGUGUCACUAGUAGCGGCGGCGGCGAGGCAGCCAUUUGCCGCCUCCCAAGCCCGGCGGUGCGCGCAGGGCUUGGAGCACUCGGUGCUGAGACGCGAAUGCGUAUAAAGAGAAAAGUGUUUCCAAUGUUUCCCCAAAAUGGGGAACAGGGAAGAAGGACAAGUAUCAUGCAAGACGCCACGGCCACCUGUCUUUUGCCGACCAUUCUGCCUUCUUUUCCGGUGGCCUGGCUCUGGGCACCGAAAGGCGGGGAGAGGGCGCCGCGCCCUAGAGCCAGCCGCGCUCGGGGACCGCAGGCGGCGCUGGCCCAGGCCACCCAAGUCCAGCAGACGAGCCCUCGUCCUGCGGGGGACCGGGCCGGAGGCCAGGGGGACGGCAGUGUCGCCGGAGGGAGCGCGCAGUCCAAGGCCGGUGCUCCGGCCCCGCGCGCCCCCUCCCGGGUCCGCAGGGAACCCGGGUUACCUGGGGAGCCGGGCUUUGUCGGCCACGCUGGCUCUCCGAGGCCCCAGAACUAA